AGAGAGUUAGUCCAAACAAGACAGUUGAUUUCGGCCCAACAGAUCAUAGCCUACCACUAUGACUCUCU
rnacentral:tRNA from 3 species